GCCGCGUGAAGGAAGAAGCUUUUCGGAGUGUAAACUUCUUUUAUGAAGGAAUAGGAAGGACAGUACUUUAUGAAUAAGGACCUGCUAACUGCGUGCCAGAAGCAUCGGUGAUACGUGGGGUCCGAGCGUUAUCCGGAGUUAUUGGGCGUAAAGAGAGUGUAGGGGGUUUGGUUGAUCUUCUUUUAAAGACUUUGGCUUAACUAAAGGAAAAAAGAGGAUAUCGCCAGACUAGAAGUAAAGAGGGGAGAUCGGAACAUGCGGUGUAGCAGUGAAAUGUGUUGAUAUCGCAUGGAACGCCGGGGACGAAGGUGGAUCUCUGGUUUUUACUUGACCCUGAGACUCGGAAGCUAGGGUAGCAAAACGGAUUAGAUACCCGUGUAGUCCUAGCCGUAAAUGAUGUUUGCUAGCUGUUGGUCUGCGCAGGUUUAUAUCUUAGGAUAUUUACCGGGCGGGAUCGGUGGCGAAGUUAACGCGUUAAGCAAACCGCCUGGGGAGUAUGAUCGCAAGGUUGAAACUCAAAGGAAUUGGCGGGGUCCCGCACAAGCGGUGGAGCGCGUGGUUUAAUUCGACGGUACUCGUAUAACCUUACCAAGUCUUGACAUUUAGCUGCAUGCCCUUAGAGAUAAGGGAGGCCUUCGAGGGUGCUAAACAGGUACUGCAUGGCCGUCGUCAGCUCGUGCUGUGAAGUGUACCGUUAAGUCGGGAAACGAGCGAAACCCCUAUCCUAUGUUAUACGCGUCUUAGGAAACUGCAGCGGUAAAACGUUGAGGAAGGUAGGGAUGACGUCUGGUCCUCAUGGUCCUUAUGACUUGGGCUACACACGCGCUACAAUGGUUCGUACAGAGAGGAUGCUAUACUGCAAAGUGGAGCGAAUCUUUAAAACGGAUCUCAGUUCGGAUUGAAGGCUGAAAUUCGCCUUCAUGAAGUUGGAAUCGCUAGU
rnacentral:rRNA from 1 species